ACCCCUGGCAUUGUUAGUACGGCGAGUGAGCGGCAACAGCUCAAAUUUGAAAUCUGGCUCUUUUAGAGUCCGAGUUGUAAUUUGCAGAGGGCGCUUUGGCUUUGGCAGCGGUCCAAGUUCCUUGGAACAGGACGUCACAGAGGGUGAGAAUCCCGUACGUGGUCGCUGGCUAUUGCCGUGUAAAGCCCCUUCGACGAGUCGAGUUGUUUGGGAAUGCAGCUCUAAAUGGGAGGUACAUUUCUUCUAAAGCUAAAUAUUGGCCAGAGACCGAUAGCGCACAAGUAGAGUGAUCGAAAGAUGAAAAGCACUUUGGAAAGAGAGUCAAACAGCACGUGAAAUUGUUGAAAGGGAAGCGCUUGCAGCCAGACUUGCUUACAGUUGCUCAUCCGGGUUUCUACCCGGUGCACUCUUCUGUAGGCAGGCCAGCAUCAGUUUGGGCGGUAGGAUAAAGGUCUCUGUCACGUACCUCCUUUCGGGGAGGCCUUAUAGGGGAGACGACAUACUACCAGCCUGGACUGAGGUCCGCGCAUCUGCUAGGAUGCUGGCGUAAUGGCUGUAAGCGGCCCGUCUUGAACCACGGACCAAAACAGCCU
rnacentral:rRNA from 1 species